AUUGAACGCUGGCGGCAGGCCUAACACAUGCAAGUCGAACGGUAACAGGAAGAAGCUUGCUUCUUUGCUGACGAGUGGCGGACGGGUGAGUAAUGUCUGGGAAACUGCCUGAUGGAGGGGGAUAACUACUGGAAACGGUAGCUAAUACCGCAUAAUGUCGCAAGACCAAAGAGGGGGACCUUCGGGCCUCUUGCCAUCGGAUGUGCCCAGAUGGGAUUAGCUAGUAGGUGGGGUAACGGCUCACCUAGGCGACGAUCCCUAGCUGGUCUGAGAGGAUGACCAGCCACACUGGAACGGAGACACGGUCCAGACUCCUACGGGAGGCAGCAGUGGGGAAUAUUGCACGAUGGGCGCAAGCCUGAUGCAGCUAUGCCGCGUGUAUGAAGAAGGCCUUCGGGUUGUAAAGUACUUUCAGCGGGGAGGAAGGGAGUAAAGUUAAUACCUUUGCUCAUUGACGUUACCCGCAGAAGAAGCACCGGCUAACUCCGUG
rnacentral:rRNA from 1 species